rnacentral:rRNA from 1 species
CAGUAGCCGCGGUAAUACGUAGGGUGCAAGCGUUAAUCGGAAUUACUGGGCGUAAAGCGUGCGCAGGCGGUGUUGUAAGACUGAUGUAAAAUCCCCGGGCUCAACCUGGGAACUGCAUUGGUGACUGCAACGCUGGAGUGCGGCAGAGGGGGAUGGAAUUCCGCGUGUAGCAGUGAAAUGCGUAGAUAUGCGGAGGAACACCGAUGGCGAAGGCAAUCCCCUGGGCCUGCACUGACGCUCAUGCACGAAAGCGUGGGGAGCAAACAGGAUUAGAUACCCCCGUAGUCCCUGUCUCUUAUAC